rnacentral:rRNA from 1 species
CUCUGUGACUCCUACGGGAGGCAGCAGUGGGGAAUAUUGCACAAUGGGCGCAAGCCUGAUGCAGCCAUGCCGCGUGUGUGAAGAAGGCCUUCGGGUUGUAAAGCACUUUCAGUUGUGAGGAAGGUGGUGUCGUUAAUAGCGGCAUCAUUUGACGUUAGCAACAGAAGAAGCACCGGCUAACUCCGUGCCAGCAGCCGCGGUAAUACGGAGGGUGCGAGCGUUAAUCGGAAUUACUGGGCGUAAAGCGCAUGCAGGUGGUUUGUUAAGUCAGAUGUGAAAGCCCGGGGCUCAACCUCGGAACUGCAUUUGAAACUGGCAGACUAGAGUACUGUAGAGGGGGUAGAAUUUCAGGUGUAGCGGUGAAAUGCGUAGAGAUCUGAAGGAAUACCGGUGGCGAAGGCGGCCCCCUGGACAGAUACUGACACUCAGAUGCGAAAGCGUGGGGAGCAAACAGGAUUAGAUACCCUGGAG